rnacentral:misc_RNA from 1 species
GAUGAAGAACGCAGCGAAAUGCGAUAAGUAAUGUGAAUUGCAGAAUUCAGUGAAUCAUCGAAUCUUUGAACGCACAUUGCGCCCGUCAGUAUUCUGGCGGGCAUGCCUGUUCGAGCGUCAUUACGCCCCUCAAGUCCCCUGUGGACUUGGUGUUGGGGAUCGGCGAGGCUGGUUUUCCAGCACAGCCGUCCCUAAAAUUAAUUGGCGGUCUCGCCGUGGCCCUCCUCUGCGCAGUAGUAAAACACUCGCAACAGGAGCCCGGCGCGGUCCACUGCCGUAAAACCCCCCAACUUUUUAUAGUUGACCUCGAAUCAGGUAGGACUACCCGCUGAACUUAAGCAUAUCAAUAAGCGGAGGA